UGGAUGUUGAGUACAAAUUAGAUAAACAACAACUAAUCUUAAUCGAGCCGUAAAAUACCGCAACCAAAAUGUUAAGCAAUAUCUGCAUUUAUGAAACGUCUGAGAAAUGUCAAUUCUGUCAACAUAGCGCGGUGUAAAUAGCGCAACGUAGGCUGUGUUAAAUUUGCAAUAUCUCUCUAAAUAUUCACUAUUCACGUUACAGAAGUGAGUAUGAACCUUGACUAAGCUCUACCUUAAUUUCCCGACUCUGCACCCCCACUACUGUUUAUAUGUGCACGUAUUUAACGAAUGGCGGGAAGUUUGAAAAUGGCCAUGACCAACCAGCUAGAGCAAUCUAACCUUACACUUACAUUUAUAAAAGUGUUUUGUUAUUGUUUUUGUAUAAGUGAACUAUUUUAAUUUUAUCAAAUUUACGUUUUAUAUUAAUAAAAUGUAUCCUUAGAAUUUGAGGAACAAUUUAGUGAUGAUGAAAGAAUAAUAUAUUUUUUAAAUAACGCUUGAACCUGUACCAUACAAGAACGAAAAAAGUUAUGAAAGAAUUUGAUGAUAACAAAUUUUUAUUAAGGUUUAUAGUUUCCAUAAAAAUACUGUGAGAUAAUUUAUACAAGAGCUGGUCCCUGGUUUCCAUUAUGUAAUUCUUUAGUAGGUAUGAUGAGCCUAAUAUCACAGAUCAAGUUUUAAUAACAUUAAAAACUUAUAUUAUGAGUUGUUUUUAUUUAUUGUAUGGUUUUGGUGGUAUACCUAUACAAAACAACUACUGAAAGAUUUAUAAAACCCAUGAAGUACUGGCAGAUAACAUAGUUGUUGAUAUUGAUAGAGAAUAUGUUAACACAGAAGAUAUUCCAUUUAUGAGUACUAAUCUAUAAACAUGUUAUAAAAUACUAUAAAAUUUAACAUUUAUAAUAAAUAUUUAAACCUUU